GUCAGUCGAGCGGCGAACGGGUGAGUAACACGUGGAUGAUCUGCCCAGAGGUGGGGGAUAACCCGGGGAAACUCGGGCUAAUACCGCAUAUGACCGUGAGGUCAAAGGGGGGUCGCAAGAUCUCUCGCCAUUGGAGGAGUCCGCGUCCGAUUAGCUAGUUGGUAGGGUAAUGGCCUACCAAGGCGACGAUCGGUAGCCGGCCUGAGAGGGUGAUCGGCCACACUGGAACUGAGACACGGUCCAGACUCCUACGGGAGGCAGCAGUGGGGAAUUUUGCGCAAUGGGCUAACGCCUGACGCAGCAACGCCGCGUGGAGGAUGAAGGUCUUUGGAUUGUAAACUCCUGUCAGCAGGGAAAAAGCAAUAGGUGCUCAUACCACCUAAAGUUGAUUGUACCUGCAGAGGAAGCCCCGGCUAACUCUGUGCCAGCAGCCGCGGUAAUACAGAGGGGGCAAGCGUUAUUCGGAAUUAUUGGGCGUAAAGGGCGCGUAGGCGGCUUGGCAAGUGGAUGGUGAAAUCCCUCGGCUUAACCGAGGAACUGCCAUCCAGACUGCUUUGCUUGAGUCCGGGAGAGGUGAGUGGAAUUCCCAGUGUAGCGGUGAAAUGCGUAGAUAUUGGGAGGAACACCAGUGGCGAAGGCGGCUCACUGGACCGGUACUGACGCUGAUGCGCGAAAGCGUGGGGAGCAAACGGGAUUAGAUACCCCGGUAGUCCACGCCGUAAACGAUGAGUGCUUGGUGUAGCGGGU
rnacentral:rRNA from 1 species